rnacentral:misc_RNA from 1 species
UUUCCGUAGGUGAACCUGCGGAAGGAUCAUUAUCAUGUAAUUCAGUCCCCUUGGCUGUGUUAUAUAUAUACCCACUCUGUGUACCUUCUCCUGUUGCUUCCGCUGGGUGUGUAAUUCGCCCGGCGGAAGGGUAAAAAUAACCUCUGAGUAUUGAUGAAAUCUCCGUCUGAACCGAAUAGAAAGAAAAAUGUUAAAACUUUCAGCAACGGAUCUCUUGGUUCUC